rnacentral:rRNA from 1 species
UACGUAGGGGGCAAGCGUUGUCCGGAGUUACUGGGCGUAAAGCGCACGCAGGCGGUCGAUUAAGUUUGGAGUGACAGUUGGUGGCUUAACUGCCAAAGUGCUUCGAAAACUGAUCGACUUGAGGGCUUCAGAGGGACACGGAAUCCGGGUGGAGUGGUGAAAUGUCGUAGAGAUCCGGAGGAACACCGAAGGCGAAGGCAGUGUCCUGGGAGUACCUGACGCUCGAGGUGCGAAAGCCAGGGGUAGCGAACGG